GGUCUGAUGGUCUAGCGGUAUGAUUCUCGCUUAGGGACAACCCUACAGCUUGUAUGCGAGAGGUCCCGGGUUCAAUCCCCGGUCAGACCC
rnacentral:tRNA from 1 species